CUUUAUAAAUAUUUUGUUGUUCUCGUAUGUUAUUGUUAUUUUGACGAAUAGGUAUAUUUUGUAUUCACUUUAUCAUAUUAUAAAUCCCAAAUACAUUUACCGGUCGCACUGAGGAAAAUUGACGAUGACUUUUUUUUUUUGGUUUUUUUUUUACGCAGUAUUAUAACGUUAACUGCACCAGCGACGGCAUUUCAGUUGCCUUUGACAGACCCAGGGACAAGUAUAUUAUAUACUUUUUCGAUAAAACAAACACUUUGAUUUCGUAUGCGGCGACUGGGUGAUGAAUCGUGACGUUUAAAAUCCUUUUAACCUAAAUCCGCACACGUAUUCACGAGAAGUAAUUUCG